rnacentral:lncRNA from 1 species
CUUUUUUGAAAUCAGACUUGGCAAUGUGUACCACUAAGAACAAAGAAACCAGCUCUAUCAUUGCUUAAUCUCUUAUACUCUGGGGAUGUGUAGUCUAUUCUACGGUAAAAUGUGUGGUCAGUUGUUUUCUCCAUGGAAUGACACAGAGCCUUGUGGUUGUUAGGUUAGGGAAUUGGUGCAUGGCACACUGUGGGAGGAGUUGCUGUAUGUGGGGCCACAGACGAGAGACACAAACAGUCUGUGGACAAGGUGUGGGCGGUGACUGAUGACCAGCAUCACAUGUGAAUCAAGUCUCCAUAAGACUCAAUAAAGAGUGAAGAGGGCUCUGGAGAACAUGACACCUGAACCCACACUACUCACAUCAUGUGCUCAGCACAGCCAUUAUGAACUCAAAAUGCACAGGAUGAGCAACAGGAAGAAGGCCAAAUGGACACAACAGAGCAUACAUUGAUGGAAAAUAGUAUGGUCUUUGCUGAGGCUGCCAGUGAUCCUGCUGAUUCCAGUUUUGUGUCUUUCACCAGCCCCGCCGUCUCCAGCAAGGGAUCAGCAUCUGACAGUGCGCCAGAAAAAACUGGAAGAUGGAGCGAAAGGAAAUGGAUUGUGAAUGAGUCUAAACUCAUGGAAUUUUCCAAACAUGUCACCAAUGUGGAGCUGUCUUGACUUAUAGAAGAUGAACCACUUUGGGCAGCAAAAUCUAAGUAACAUGGAGUUGUUACAAUAGACACAGCAGAGAAUGUCCUGAUGCAUGCGGAACCAAGGCACAGCGUUUGUUGAGUUCCACAUAUUGAUUUAAAAUUAAACUUCUUCAACCAAAACAAUAAACAAGCAACACAACGUGACUACGUGGUGCAACAAGCACCACCACAAACAAUCAAUAUCCCACAAAGCAAGUGGGAACAGGGAACCCUUAAGUAUGAUCCCCAAUCAGAGACAACAAACAUCAGCUGCCUCUAAUUGGGAACCAUAUUAAGAGCACCAACAUAGAAAUGGAUAAACUAGAACACCCCCUAGUCACGCCCUGACCUACAACACCAUAGAGAACCAAGGGCUCUCUAUGGUCAGGGCAUGACAGACGUACAUGGAAUGUGCUGAUUGGGCCACACUGCUGAACCUUCAGAUGCCCAAGAGAACAGCCUUGUACGAAAUACAGCUAACAUACUUGCUUCCAGUUAUUGAACAUGCAUACCCCGACCAGCAGAUUACAAUCUUGCCGAGCCUGAUUGGAAAUGUGUGGUGAUGGACAGUCCUUGGUUCAGGAGUUGAAGUGCAGGUUCAGGUCAAUGCUCCAUCACAAAUAAAUAAAAUAACAUCUGUGGAGUCUAUCGCUGGGAAGUGGACGGAGUGGAACACCACUGUUACCAUGGAGCGCUAACAGCGGACCAGCAGUGGAAGAAGAGGUAAUUACAGGAAGAUUCACCAACCUUCAAAGCCCUGUACUCUCUGGUCAUGGACAAACGCCUGCAGAAUGAUCUCGAUCAGAUGGGACAGUUCAAGCACACAGGAACACUUGAGGUAUUUCACAGUUCUAUGUUGAAAUACUGUCAAAAGCGUCUCCACUUCAAAGACUACAGCAUGAAAGCCCGUACCCAGUUGACAGUUUUGGACCAGAAUGAGAAUCAGAACCGUAAUAGAGGACAAGCCUCAACCAUUUCAACGUUGGAUUGCCCGGCCAAUAUACCAGCCCACCAGGAAUGACCUGAUUGAGCGCAUCCUCAUGGACAAAUUAGUGAAAUACUGGG